rnacentral:rRNA from 1 species
GACGGAGGAGGCAAGCGUUGUCCGGAAUUAUUGGGCGUAAAGCGCGCGUAGGCGGUUUCGCAAGUCUGGGGUUAAAGCCCAGGGCUUAACUGCGGAGGGGCACUGGAAACUGGCGGACUAGAGUAAGGUAGGGGAUGGGGGAAUUCCACGUGUAGCGGUGAAAUGCGUAGAUAUGUGGAAGAACACCAGUGGCGAAAGCGCGCAUCUGGGCCAUAACUGACGCUGAGGCACGAAAGCUAGGGGAGCGAACAGG